GACGAACGCUGGCGGCGUGCUUAACACAUGCAAGUCGAACGGAAAGGCCCUGCUUUUGUGGGGUGCUCGAGUGGCGAACGGGUGAGUAACACGUGAGUAACCUGCCCUUGACUUUGGGAUAACUUCAGGAAACUGGGGCUAAUACCGGAUAGGAGCUCCUGCUGCAUGGUGGGGGUUGGAAAGUUUCGGCGGUUGGGGAUGGACUCGCGGCGUAUCAGCUUGUUGGUGGGGUAGUGGCUUACCAAGGCUUUGACGGGUAGCCGGCCUGAGAGGGUGACCGGCCACAUUGGGACUGAGAUACGGCCCAGACUCCUACGGGAGGCAGCAGUGGGGAAUAUUGCACAAUGGGCGGAAGCCUGAUGCAGCAACGCCGCGUGCGGGAUGACUGCCUUCGGGUUGUAAACCGCUUUCGCCUGUGACGAAGCGUGAGUGACGGUAAUGGGUAAAGAAGCACCGGCUAACUACGUG
rnacentral:rRNA from 1 species